GAUCCGGUGGCUUAGUGGUUAGAGCGUCCGCCUCGGAUGCGGGAAGUCGUGGGUUGCGUCCGCCUCGGAUGCGGAAAGUCGUGUGUUCGAUCCACGGCCGAGUCA